GGGUUUUUCUGACAGUUCCCACAUGUGAACUUGUAUUCAAUACUGGUGACUUGACGGAUUCUUUGUCCUUGGAAAAGUCUUUGAAAGUGUCAUUAGAGCUGAAACAAAAAGCAAACAGGACCUCUGCAGGACUGUGACGGGUACACGACUGUGUACUCUGUGUUAUUGUGUAAUCUCUCACUAUGGCUGCUGCAAAUCCUAUUUGAGGAUGCUGCAUUUCCUGGACUCCAUUCCUGUACUCCCAGCUCAAUAUUUUCCAUCCGUCUCUCAUUACAGGCAAAGUGGUGCAUUAGCCUCUGGCGUCUCACCUGGUGUGGGUCGUUACUAAUCAUAUCCUGGAGCUAAAGUGACUGAAACUGCAUCUUUAUCAAGCCUUUGUUGUCCAUAAUACCUCUGCGGCGCCAAAGGCGUGGAUUAAAUCUUUACAUAUCCCAAGUCGUCUCCCGAUGCCAAAAUUUUGUCUGCUAGUGUUUGUGAGGAAAGCGGCAGGUAAACAGGAUAAAAACUGUGUGUGCUCACAGACAACUCCAGGUCCUUUUAACCCUAUUUAACCAUCUGGAUCACAUUUCAAACACGCACUUCUGUCUCAUUAACAUAAUCCAAACCUUCCUUAAAAACCCAAUGGUCCAUGUUUUCUGCCCUGCAGUGCAUUAUAUGUCCACUAGGGGCAGUAGAAGGGCUUUUCUUGCUCAUUUCAAAAUGGCUGCUUCCAUGAAUCUAAAAAACAAUUUUGGCGGGAAAAAUGUACACUUUUUUUGUUGAGAAUAUCUCAUCUAUUACUUUUUUUUUUUUUUACUUGUCCUGUCCAACAGAAGAAAGAAGGAUGUUAGAGGAAAACAGGAGUUAAGAAAAUUGUUGAGGGGUACAAUCACUUAGCAACAAGUUGCUGGAGACUUUUCAUCAUUACUGUUGGGUGUAAAUGUUAGUCUAAAGGGGCGGGGCCUGUCCGCACUCAUACUCAAGUGUUACAAAUAUACCUGUUGGGUCCAAAAAAUCUUCUCAGACAAUCUUGUCAACAUGUACUCAAUACAACUACAGCUCACACACACAUAUACAAACAUGCAAAUGUAAAGUACUAUGCUCAGGUGGGUGUUUAUGUACUCCUGAGAUAGAUGAUGGAAUGUAAAAAGAGGGAGGUUGCCCCGUUAUCCCCACACCAAGACCCCCGCCGAGCCGUAGUGGUAGCCAGGGCCCCCAAAUAGACCACCCAGACCAGGAGGACCGCCAAAGGGGUCCCCAACACCAGAGAGCAGGGAGGCACAGGACCCAGAAGGAUAGCACCCUGCCGUGCCAGGGGGCCCAGCACUUGGCCCCAAUCCCAAAGAGCCCUCCCAGCCCCAGACAAGCAACCUACCACCACCGGGGAGUUCUGGGCACCCCCACAGGCACCAGCCAGGGGCCCCCAAAGGAAGACACGCUCCAUGCUUCAGGCAACCACCCGCCCAAGAGAGAGCAAGGCAGGGGGGACCCAAGAGAGGUGGGGGGCCUGAAGAGCUCAGUCAGCAUUGCCAAACCAGGACCAUAUUAUUUUCUUUAAAUAACUACUUGCUGUAUUGAAAGGAUGCAAAAUGUGUUAAUAAUGAAUUCUUUAUGAUACAGUCACACUGUGUUAAAUGUGUGUAUCAAAUUUGAGACAGAGGGUAGAUUUCCUGUCAUGUUCAUAUUUUUGCAUCUUUAACUAAUUCAUUACGAGUCAUAACUGAUACUAUCCUCUGAAUAUAUAUCUAAUAAAAGUUACACCAAUUAAAAAAAAAAAAAAAAAAA